rnacentral:misc_RNA from 1 species
AACGCACAUUGCGCCCCUUGGCAUUCCGAGGGGCAUGCCUGUUCGAGCGUCAUUAUGAAAAUCUCAAGCUUGUAUGUAUUAAUAAAUAAAUACAGCUUGGUGUUGGGUUUUCAUCCCUUCUGCCUCUUGAAAAAGGGGGUGGGGUGUACCUGAAAAUUAGUGGUGGUGCCACAAUGGCCUCAAGUGUAGUAGACUUGAUUUCUCACUUUAGAUGGUCACUUUGGAGUGCCUUGCCCUAUCAUUUAGAAAUGGUUUGACCUCGGAUCAGGUAGGGAUACCCGCUGAACUUAA